AGUGAACGCUGGCGGUAGGCCUAACACAUGCAAGUCGAACGGCAGCACAGUAAGAGCUUGCUCUUACGGGUGGCGAGUGGCGGACGGGUGAGGAAUACAUCGGAAUCUACUUUUUCGUGGGGGAUAACGUAGGGAAACUUACGCUAAUACCGCAUACGACCUACGGGUGAAAGCAGGGGUUCUUCGGACCUUGCGCGAUUGAAUGAGCCGAUGUCGGAUUAGCUAGUUGGCGAGGUAAAGGCCCACCAAGGCGACGAUCCGUAGCUGGUCUGAGAGGAUGAUCAGCCACACUGGAACUGAGACACGGUCCAGACUCCUACGGGAGGCAGCAGUGGGGAAUAUUGGACAAUGGGCGCAAGCCUGAUCCAGCCAUACCGCGUGGGUGAAGAAGGUCUUCGGGUUGUAAAGCCCUUUUGUUGGGAAAGAAAAGCAGCAGGUUAAUACCCCGCUGUUCUGACGGUACCCAAAGAAUAAGCACCGGCUAACUUCGUG
rnacentral:rRNA from 1 species